UGCUGCGCCUUUAAGGCGCUACAGGACUGUGUGCGUUUUUCCGGAAGCGGAAGUGUGUGCAGAUAUCCACUGUAAACAUUGCAUAGUGUCUGGCAGACUGUGUGACAAUUUGUUGCCUAUCGUAAAGUUUAAUGUUCUGAACCUGCAAAAUAAAGUGUGCAGACAUGGGGGUGAAAGGCUUACAGUACUUUAUGGAGACUUGUUACCCAGAGACUUGCAUACAUGUGGACUUGAGACAGUUGGCUGCAGCCCAUGCCGAAGCCCAUCCUGACAUAAUGCCUACUGUGGUGGUGGAUGGAAUGGCCUGUUUGAGGUACUGGUAUCAGUGUCAAGCCUGGGUCCAUGGUGGUCAGUGGCAAGAGUACAUGCAUUUUCUGCACAAAUUUGUGGAUGCAUUCACAAUGAUAGGCUUAAGAUUGGUCUUCUUCUUUGAUGGAACCAUAGAGGAACAGAAGAGAGCAGAAUGGGUGAAAAGACGCCUCAGAGUCAAUCAGGACAUAGCCAGAAUAUUUAACUACAUUAAGAAUCACCAUCAGCAACCAGAUAGAGAAAUGUUCUGCCUCCCCUCAGGAUUGUCCAUCUUCUCCAUGUUUGCACUAAAAUCUCUUGGUCAAGAAACAUGUUGUUCUGUUCGUGAAGGGGACUACGAGAUUGCUGAAUAUGCACUCUGUAACAACUGUAUAGGUAUUCUUGGUCAGGAUACAGACUUUGUCAUUUAUGACACAGUUCCAUAUAUGUCCAUUGCUAAAUUCCAAGUAGAAAAUAUGACCACAGUGCAGUAUUCCAGAGAAAAGCUGUGUCACAUCCUGAAGCUUCAAAAAUCUGAUCUUCCUUUACUGGCAUGCAUUCUGGGUAACGACAUUGUGCCAGAGCAUCAACUGCAGAGUCUCCGUAAAAAUGCUUUGACCUUGUAUGGGAAAAAACACCAGGGUGACAAAGUCCACACAGCAGCGGAGUUCAUAAAAAGCCAUCGUCCAAACAGUGAUGUAGCAUGUAGCAUCUCCUCACUACCUUUAUCCAAAGUUGAUAUGGAGGUUGUUGAAAAGGGAAUCCAGUCAUAUCUUCUCCCAGGACAAACUUCGCCUUGGUUAGAUCGAAGCCAACCUUCCCCAAAGCUGGUGUGUGUGCUGGAAAAGUACCUGAACAAAGAUAUCUUACAGGCAGCAAAAGAGAAGCACAUUCGAGCAGAGAGUUUUAUGAUCUAUAAUAUCCUCCAAAAUGGGGUGGUGGAAUGCAGCAAUACGCUGGAAGAUGAGGAUCUUGGACUGCCACCACAGGCUAUUUUAUACCAACCACUUAGAGAACAUAUCUACAGUAUUGUCCUGCCUAGUUCUUAUGGUGAAACCUUGUUUGUGAAGGAAUGGUUUGUUUUUCCCAGAAAUCCACUUAAAGAACCGAAAAAAGUGGCUCCAAAGCCUCUAAACCUUCCAGAGGGAACUCCUGACCUUACGGCCCUUUGGUUUGGAAAUGACUCAGAGGUGACAAGUGUCCAAGUGUCCACUUUCCUGGCUGUUUUUGACCUACAGGACUUUACUGAAGAUCUGAAAUCGUUUGACACUCCUUUGGUAGCUGUGAUAUGUCUUGUAACAUACAUAGCUAUUCAGGCUAAACACUUUUCCCUAGAAGACAUAGAUGCAUAUCUAAGUCAAGCCGUCUGCAUCAGAUAUAAGUCCUAUACAGACCUGCAACGCACGAGGGUUCCUCAGGUGGACCCAAGGGCUGUUCACCUUGGUUCCCUCUUUGUACGGGGCCUAACCUAUCUGAUUGCUGCCAAUAGUGCCUGUGGUUUUCCUUUUGCAAUGAAUGAGAUCAUGCCUUGGAAAAUCUUUGAUGGCUUGCUGUUCCAUUCUAAGUACGUACAAACACAAGGAGGAGCUUCUAAGGAGGAGCUUCUAGAGGGCAAUGUGAGUAGAGAAAAACUUCUUAUGAAUAUUGGUGAUGUGAAAUGUGUUAUAAGCUGUGAGGGAGAGAUGCAAUAUAUUAACAUACAGUGGGGUCCAAAAGUCUGAGACCACAUGAAAAAUCUGGGAUUUUUUUUUUUAAAUUAGAACAAAAAGAAUUAGAAAUAUUUAAAAACAAGUAUAUGUUCAAUAUAUUGAAUAUUUAAUAUUCAAGAUUCGGCACUAUUUCUAGGUCCCUAUAUAAAUGUAAGCAAAUGUGUGAUAUUGACCAUGUUAACUGUUUUGUUUUUUUUCCUCAUGCCUAAUUUCUUCUAUUGAAGUAUGGGUUCAGACAGCACUCUGAUGAUUUGAUCUAAAAUGGAUCAUAAGGUUUUGCACAAACUUGUGAAGUCCACGGCCACUUGAGUGCACACUAAAGCAGAAAGGGGAUGUACCAAAUACUAAGGAACUCUGAAAUUCAUGUAAAUAUUUGAAAGAUUCUACAUUUCACUCAAGUUGUUUUGAAUAAUACAAUUUGUGAUGAAAAUUGUAAAUUAGAUUAUUAAAGAAUGUAAAUUUGAAGCAUUUUCAUUAGUGCUCUCAGACUUCACUCGUGCUCUCAGACCCCACUAUAUGUAUUCAGCAAUAACUGGGAAAAGGCUGUGGAUGAGUAACAUUGUUUCUCCAGUGACCACAGUAUGUUCUUUGAUGGGUCAGGCCAGUCCCAGCCAGCGGUCCAGAUGUCUGACGUGCUGCUCUAGCUUUGAACCAGACUAGCAGCCGUUUUUCCGGCAAGCCUCUGGUGGAUACCAUAUACUGUAUAUGUACACACAGGUUUCUGUGGUGGUCAUAUGCUAAAGCAUGACUGGAUUUGCAAACAAAAAAUAAUUUGGCUAGAAAUCAAGCAUUUUAGGUGAAAAACAUUCUCAAGUGUUACAAAUCUAGGUUCAUAUUCUGAUUUCAUUCCAUACGACUGUCGAAGGAAAUACAAAGGAUGAAGAAUAACAUUCAUUAAGCCCGAUUAAAAUUAAAUCGGGCGCAUGGUAGCUUAGUGGUUAGCACGUUCGCCUCACACCUCCAGGGUCUGGGGUUCGAUUCCCGCUGGGGCCCUGUGUGUGCGGGGGUUUCCUCCGGGUACUCCGGUUUCCUCCCCCAGUCCAAAGACAUGCUUGGUAUAGUGCAUGGUAUAUACUUUAUAGUAUGAUUGGCGUGUCUAAAGUGUCCGUAGUGUAUGAAUGGCUGUGUGAGUGUGUAUGUGCUUGUGCCCUGCGAUGGACUGGCACCCUGUCCAGGGUGUACCUGGACGAUGCUUCCUGGGAUAGGCUCCAGGUUCCCCGCGACCCUGAAGAAGGAGUAAGCGGUAGAAGAUGGAUGGAAGUUUAAUUAAAUACUGAGCAUAUCUUCGCAUGCCUGCAUGGAUAUCACUAUUUCUCACACUUCGAGAUCUGGUGCUCAAAGCCUGCAGAAGACAUGGUUCUACUAUCCUUAGUUUUCCAUGCAGACUUCAGCAUGG